AGAACAUCCUGGAAAACACUCAUCCUAUCAUCUAGAAACUCUCUCUAACCAAAGUUAGGCAAGACAAUCCUGGAAUUUACAGGUCUUAGGAUUCAUGAGACUGAAUUCUGACAGAUCUGCCUAUCUAACUAAAAAAGUUUCCAGCUCUCCUGUCACAAAGUGGCUAUUGAGACUUCAAAUGUCAGAUGAUCUCCUUUGAAGCAGCAAAAUAGAGUGGAUAGAACUCCAGGAUGGAUGUCAAAAAACUCUGUGAUCCUAGUUCUAACUCAAAUUUACCUUUCAUAUGGUAUGAGGUUGGCAACAAAUGAUUCAUGGACCACCACUCAUCUAUAGACCAGACAUUAGUAAGAUGUGCUUGCUUCUCCUUCGCCUUUCACCAUGACUGUAAGUUUCCAGAGGCCUCCCAGUCAUGGUUCCUGUUAAGCUUGCAGAACGUGCACACAACCUGGAGCAAAGAGAUGUCAACGUAGACUUGAAAGCCUCAACAAACAUCUAUACAUUCAAAAUUCAGAGGAUAAUUGCAGACUUACAUGUUAAAUGAUGCCACAGGCUUGUGGUGAAUGUACAAAUCUAAUUCCCUAAACCUAUGAUACUACAGCUGACCCUUGAACAACAUGGGUUUGGACUACACGGUUCCAGCUAUACACGAUGUUUUUCAGCCAAACACAGAUCAAAAAUGCAGUAUUUGUGGGAUAUGGAACUUACCUAUAUGGAAGGCUGACUUUUCUUAUACUUUGGUUCCAUGGGGCUGACUGCAAGAUUUGAGUAUGCUUGUAUUUUGGUAUACUCAGGCCAGCGCCCUGGAAUCAAUUCCCUGCAUAUACCCAAGGAUGGUUGCAUUUAGAUAAUCGGAGCAUUACAAUGCCAUUUGUUAUGCAAAGAACAGCUUCUAUAAUUUGUGAAAUUUCAGUGAAAAAUAAAAUAUAAAGAUUUCACUCUAUUAAACUCUAUUAUUACUAAGAAAAUGAGAACUGAGUCUCAAAGGUAGUUAAUACAACGUAUUGAUCCAGCAGAAAUAGCUAUUCCUAUGAAUGCCAAAAUGAUUAGUCACUUUGUUAUUAAAUCAGCCUCACUGAUUAUUUUAGAUAUUAUAAACGGAAGUGAUUUUCAAUUUUCAACCCAACCAGAUGUUAUUGGCGUGCAUCAAACACAGAUAAGAGUGAAUCUACUCAGAAGAAAAUCAAGGAGAAUAUAGCUAAAAAUAUGCUAUGAGGCUAAUGUUCUGUUUAAAGAAAGGCUUAUUUGAUAUUUCUAUAGUGUUGAAUGACAUUUUCCGGAAAAAAAAUUGUUAAAUUUUAAAUAGAUUAUAUAAUGUAAUACCAAAAUUAUUUCAAUAAUGUUAUUAGAAAUAUGCUUUUUUUUUUUUUGAGACGCAGUCUCACUCUGUCACCUAGGCUGCAGUGCAGUGGCAUGAUCUCAGCUCACUGCAACCUCUGCCUCCUGAGUUCAAGCAAUUCUCCUGCCUCAGCCUCCCAGGUAGCUGGGAUUCCAAGCGUGCACCACCAUGCCCAGCUAAUUUUUGUGUUUUCAGUAGAGACAGGGUUUCACCAUGUUGGCCAGGCUGGUCUCAAACUCCUGACCUCAAGUGAUCAUCCCGCCUCAGCCCCCCAAAGUGUUGGGAUUACAGGCAUGAGCCACCACACCUGGCCAGAAAUAUGCAUAUUUUUGAUUUUGCAUUUUCUAGUCCAUGUUUUCCAUCAUAAAAUAGGUUUUUCCAAAAAUUGAAUUAUUUACAAAAAUUUAAAAAAAUCCUUCAUCUUUAGAAUGUAUUUUUUGAAUUAUCAUUCGUUAUACCAGAAGAUACUUAAUUUAAGAAACACAUAAUUUCCUUAUUAAUAUUCUACAAUAAAUUUCUUAGGCUCAUUGUUCUUUAAUAUAUAGGCAAAAAUAUUUGGUGAUUUCUUAAACAAUUGGGUCCAAAUACUGCCUUAAUUUCAUUUCCUACCAAUGAAUUCAUUCCCUUAAAACCAGAGAGAUUCCAGUUUUUUACACACGUUCCCCAAGAAACUGAAUAUUUUAGGCUUACCACAAAACAGACAGUAAUAAAAUUAUAAAAGCAGAGAUGUACAAACAUGACUCCAGAGGUCUCAAAAUGUCUCUAACAGGGGAUGCCUGACAUUAUGGCAAACUAAGCUUGCUAGAUAUUCAGCUUCUUACCACAAACACAUUAAAAAAUCAUGACUAGAAGAUAAAGAUAAAAUAUUUAAAUAAAGACAUUUUAAUUACAUACGUUAGCUCAAAAGAAAAAAAAAAGUGAAACAUCUAAGCCAGAAGGAUUAAAUACAUUUAUAUUCUGGCCACUUCUGGGGGAGUUGCAUCCUGUUCUAGGUUUGGGACACUGGAGUUCUAAUAUUUUUAAGGACACAAAAGAUGACUCUUCUAGCAUGUGAAGACAGAAGAAACUGGAACUGAACCCCUUACAUAAAACCUAGAGCCUUUCAGAUCUGUCCUAUUGUUAAUAGGAGAAUAGAAAAAAUGCCACAGAAUGAUCUGAGUAAGCAGCAAUAUAGCUCAUCUUGCUCAAGAGCUAUUUUAUGAAAAGAAAAUAAGAGUCACAGGAGAAAUCAAAAUUCCAAUAAAGAUGUGAGCCCAGGUCUUUCUUAUUUCAAAGCUCUUGAUUUUUGCUUUGGUCUCUGCUGGCCUUCCUUUCUCUGAAUUGUCUUUAUGUUAUGUAGAGUAAAGAGAGUUUUAUUCUUGAACCCAGAACCAAAGCUAUACACAAACUAUUCUCACAACUUUUUUUUUUAAAGACAUGCCAUCCUAUCGACCUUGUUAAAUGAUUUUUUUUGGAAUGAUAGGGCAUUCCUCCUACUUUUCCUGCAAUUAUUUUCUAGCAUAGAUCUCAAAGAUCUGCAAACUAGUAAACAAUAAACCUAAAGCAGUAAAAACUUCAGACCCCUGCAUCCAAGCUUAAUUAAGUCAGAAAUUGAAUUCCAUUAUGUCAUGGGAUAUGCCCUAGAGAAUUGUAUUGAUUCUCUCCUCUACGCCCAAAUGCACUUGAGCUAAAAGGCAUCUUUGCAAUCACAAAGCAUCCCAGCCUGGAGAAAGCUAUAUUUUGAGAAAGAAUGUAGGUAGGUAUUCAUAUUAGAUGUGGGAAUCAAAGUCACCUUAAGUACAAUCUUGAUGUUACACUUGUGUUUUAAAAAAAUGGGAAGUUGGAGAUGAACUCGUUCAUGGAGCUCAGAAUUAUUUGCUGUUUGACCAAUAUUGUACCAUAUAAGCCGUGUUAUCUGUAAAACUAUACAUUCAUGUAUUAAAUAUGUAUAAAAGGUAAGAGGAUUGUUCUUUUAUUGUGCACACAUUUCCAUGAGCUGCAAAGAUGAGAAUGUGAUGGAUGUAAUAAUACAGACAACAAAUUUGUGGUUGUAUGGGGAAUAUUCACUGCACCCACUGGAAUUGAUUCUAGGCUAGAAUCUAUAACUAUUAGAUGUAAGCAUGUAGAGACCAUCUCAUUUUAUUCCUAGUAACUGGCAUUUCUUCCCACCAGGGUUUAUCCUGAAGCUGAUGAUUGAAAAAUGAAUCCUCAAACGUAAGAUAACUGUUAAAUACACCCACCCAAUAGACUAAUUGAAAUAUAAUAACACAGUUUACAGGAAUUAAUUCUAGAGUAAUUUACAAGCUGGGGAAACUUAAAUCAGGGACCCUAAUCCAAAAGCAAUAUGGAAUAGAAUGGUGUUUUCUAAAUCAUAGUUGUUAUGAUAACACUUUCAUGAUUUUUCCAUGUAAAAUUUCUGAACUAUAUUUAAUAUUUUAUUUAAAAUCUACUCAUUCUUUUUGUUAAGUACACUUAUUUUAAGAAGAACUUUCAUACUUCUGCCAUAUGUAAAAGUGGUGUCACCUGCUGUUCCAUAUUUGAUGAUCCACAAACAUCUGUGACACUAUUCACAGCUACAGUUUUAG
rnacentral:lncRNA from 1 species